GUUGCCUCUGCCCUUGCUGGUCUCUAGUACGCCCCUCACCCCGGUGAGGAGACCGCACGCCGGCGGCCAAAACAACUCUGCUUUUUACACUGCAACUCUGAGAAAAAACACAAAUGAAUCAAAACUUUCAACAACGGAUCUCUUGGUUCUAGCAUCUAUGAAUAACGCAGCGAAAUGCGAUAAGUAAUGUGAAUUGCAGAAUUCAGUGAAUCAUCAAAUCUUUGAACGCACAUUGCCCCCUCUGGUAUUCCGGAGGGCAUGCCUGUUCUAGCGUCAUUUCAACCCUCAAGCAUUGCUUGGUGUUGGGGCACUGCUUUUCUUGCGAGAAGCAGGCCCUGAAAUCUAGUGGCGAGCUCCCCGGGACCCCGAGCGCAGUAGUUAAACCCUCGCUCUGGAAGGCCCUGGCGGUGCCCUGCCGUUGAACCCCGGGCGUUUGAGGAUUUGACCUCGGAUCAGGUACGACUACCCGCUGAACUUAAGCAU
rnacentral:rRNA from 1 species